AAAAGCUGUCACUCUCCGCUACUACUGCACCUAUUUUUUCUUCUUUUCCCUCUUCUGUCUUCCUCUCACCUCCUCUCUUUUUUGGUUCAAGAUCUGCCUUAGCAUCCCACGCUUCCUCCGUUCAACUUUCGCGUCCAUGGGUUACCAAGGGAGAGAGCUCGGGAGUGUGAGUUCUCAUGGUGGCUGCCUCAGAGCGACGGGUUCAUGCUUCAAGUGUCUUCAGAUUUACUCGCAUUGCUCUGUGUGUCUCUCCUUACCAUUCUUCGCUUCCUUCGUUUAGAUCUAGAUGGUGAGGCCGUCGCACCCUCCAUUCUUCAUGUUCGUCGGCCAUCUUUUAGUGAGUAGAUGGAGCUUCAGGUGAAUGAAAAGCAGCAAAAACAUCAAAGCUCAGAUGAGGUGGAUUUAUUCACGAACCUUGGUGGUUUUCUUUCUUUUUUUCUUUUCUUUUCUUUUAUUCAUCUCUUUCGUUGCAAUUUUGACUCUUUUUCUUUGAGAAAUGGUUGAAUCAUCAGGUUGGAGAAGUUGUUUGAAGCGGAGCAUGAUGUUCUCAAGGCUCUUAGGGGAGGUGGGAUUCAGAUCAUGGUUGGAAUCCCCAAUGAGAUGUUGUCUCUCUUAGGAUCUUCCCCUUCUACUAUCGUCUUUUAUGUGAAGGUGGUACGGAUAUCAGAAUCAUCCAGAGCUCUACAUCUGCCAAGACCAAUGGUGAGAUCUUGUUGGCAAUUAAUUGUCUCAUUGGGCCUCAGAUAUGAAGAGAAAGAUGAACCUUUAUCCCCUAGAGCAGGAGACUUGGGAGAAAUCAGGUUCCCGUGAAAGACAACAUAGCAACUUUUGCUUCUAUCUCAUCAAGGGGAUUUAUAGUCCAAACUCCAAAGUACCAAGGGCGAGAUGUUAUUGUCUGAACUUUAGACCCCAAUUACGAAGUCUGAAUCACUUAUUGCAGUUCAAUUCUAUGUGAGGGCUUCUCAGCAUGGUCUGUGCUUUGGCACAACAUAAACCGUACUUUCCUUUUUGGGUCUUGAUAUAACCAUUGCAUUUUAAUGUAUUUUACAGGUUUUCAUGACAAUGGAUGCCAUGCUUGGGUUUUAGUUUUCAUUGCUUCUUUUCAAAAAGAGUAGUUUCUCUGUAUUCUUGGAUGUGAAUAGUUAGGCAAGUGGUCAACUGGUCAUACUACUGAAAGAAGUUUUUAUGAUUUAGAGUCUCUUUUUCUUUAAUUUAUAAUUCAAUAAUUCCUGUAAGGUCUGACAUUCCUCGACCUUCUUUUUUAAGUGUUGAAGAAAACUCAUAUAUGCUCCUCAUUUAUAAUGUAGGUCAAGAGGGAGAUCAAAAUAUUGCAAAAUCUUUGUGGAGGGCCAAAUAUUGUGUGGUUGCUUGAUAUUGUUAGAGACAAGCAAUCAAAGGCUCCAAGGCUAACUUUUGAUUAUGUCAAUAACAAUGAUUUCUCUCUUGGAUUCUGCCAUGAGCUUGCUCAAUUUUCCUAUAAGGAUGAACGGUAUUUUUUCUCGAGUUCAUGGUUGUUGAUUAUUGCAUCUGAUUAUUAUUCCUUCAGUGUGGAAAUUAUUUGUAUAAUCACCAUCUAUAUCUGUCAUGAUGGUGCCUAUAGCUGUUUUUUGUGCUUGGAGUAUAUGCAGGACUGAACUUGCUCUCUCUUUUGAUAUAUUUCCAUGAACUGUGAUUUUUUUUUUCCAA